rnacentral:rRNA from 1 species
AACCAAUGGUCUCCUGAACGUGCGUUGCACCCUUGGGAUUUCCUGAGAGUAUGUCCGCUUCAGUGCUUAA